ACGAACGCUGGCGGCGUGCCUAACACAUGCAAGUCGAACGAGAAAGUCCUUCGGGAUGAGUAAAGUGGCGCACGGGUGAGUAAUACAUAGGAACGUGUCUUUAGGAGGGGAAUAACCGCGGGAAACCGCGGCUAAUACCGCAUAAACUGGUAACAGCAAAAGUGGCCUCUACUUGUAAGCUACUGCCUAAAGAGCGGCCUAUGUCCCAUUAGCUAGUUGGUAAGGUAACGGCUUACCAAGGCAACGAUGGGUAGCUGGUCUGAGAGGAUGAUCAGCCACACUGGAACUGAGACACGGUCCAGACUCCUACGGGAGGCAGCAGUGGGGAAUAUUGCACAAUGGGCGAAAGCCUGAUGCAGCAACGCCGCGUGAGUGAAGAAGGCCUUCGGGUUGUAAAGCUCUUUCGGAUGAGAAGAAGGGUAGUUAUUUAAACAACUUAACUAUUUGACGGUAUCAUAAGAAGAAGCACCGGCUAACUCCGU
rnacentral:rRNA from 1 species